rnacentral:lncRNA from 1 species
UUUGUUGUUUGCUGCAAGUACGGCCUGGAGGAGCGUGUCGUGGAGGCAUGCGUGUUGCGAGGAGAGCCAAAGAGGUGCUGGAGCGGCGACUGAGAUAUUUUGGAAACCCUAGGGGUUUCUGAAAAUUGUUUUCCGUUUUGGGUUUCAAUGUAAUUGGGCUGGGGUAUUUGGGCCAUUGUAAUUGGGUUUAGUUUUUGUUGUAAUUGGGCAGUGUAAAUGGACUUAUGGAUUUUUAAUAAUUUUUUUGUUUUUUUAUUUAGCCGGGCAAAUUGGGUAUUACAAUGAAGAUGUCACUUCACUUUAGUAUGUACAAAUGAUCAUCUUGAUGCCAUUGAAGGAUUAAACCAAAAGUCUUAUCAUGUUUGCGGUAAAUCUCGUUAGAUGAAUAAGAAUACAGAGGAUGUGAAUGAGGAUGAAGGUGAGGCACAUUUAAGAAAGAAGCCAAUAAAGAUUUUAC